AUGGAGCAACAUGAAGACCAGCGGUGCUGCUGCUCCCUGAAGACGUGCUCGCGGACGCCCUCCGCCGACUUCCUCCACAUGGGUGGCGUUUGGAGACCGGUGGCGCGUGGUAGAUUUUGGAUCGGGAUCUUGCCGCGACGGUGGGAAUUGGGGAUCCUGCAGCGUGGAAUCGGUAGCUGUGGCGGCUGCGCUCGGCGGGCGCCAGCAGCGGGUAAGGGGCAGCACCGGCGGCGGCGAAUCGAGGGAUCUGACAGCGUGCGACGGGAAGAAGUAUUGAUUAGGCUCAGCGAGCGCCGGCGCAAACUCCAUUCAACCAAACAACAGAAUGUGGCCAUCCUUAACCAGGUGGCUAGGGACAUCCUCAGCCAACCCAUCCUUGCCCUUGAACCAAACACCACCAUGGUCUCGCUGCGUCUGAAGGCGUGGCGGGACGUCGUCGACACGCACAGCCUGCUGCGGCUAGACCUCCCACACUCGGGGGGCCGUGACCUCGGCCGCGCCGUCUCCGGCAAGCUGGGCCACCUCCGCGAUCCAGCCGUCUAUGUCAGCGAUCACUGCAACGGCCUUCUUCUAGUUCACGAUUACGUGGUUAACCCUGCCACAGGACAGUUGGCUCGCCUGCCCAAGUGCCCCGGUGCGUUGACGAGAACACGUUUCUUGUACACUAACAAGUACAUUGCGUUUGAUCCGGUGGCAUCUUCGCACUACAAAGUUUUCGCAGUCCCUCACAUUUGUUACCUUGCAAGUUACAUCAAGUUCAAGGAACCAGAAAAAGAGGGCUCGGAGCGGCCACCAUCACGAUACGCCCUCCAUGUCUUCUCGUCGCAGACGGGGUGA
rnacentral:rRNA from 1 species